AAUAAAGAUGGACCUAACACAACCCAUAACACAGGACAACAUUUCACACUCUAGAGCAACUAUAAUAUUACUCUUUAACAUAAGUCAAACUAGCUGCUUUAAAAUUUUAACCAUCCAGCAAAGUUCAAGGAAAGUGGACGACACCAGGCGCAUUGUCAAUGCCAACACCACCUUCAUUUCCACUACCAGCGCCAGGCCCACCUCCAUACCCAACACCUACCAUGGCGCCCAUCCCACCUGUACCACCAAGGCCAGUCAUACCACCAACACUCCCAACUCCACCCAUUGGCAUGCCAUUUGAACCCAUGCCAGAGUAGCCGCCAAUGCCACCGUAUGUGAGGAGGUUCUUUUGGUCAUUGAGACCAGCAGCAUCGCUAGGCACAUUCCUUGCAGUAGCUUGAACCACUACUAGAGCAAGAACAAGCACAACAUUCAAGUACUUGGCCAUAUCUGAUAUUU
rnacentral:lncRNA from 1 species